GAUGAACGCUAGCGGCAGGCUUAACACAUGCAAGUCGAGGGGUAUAGUUCUUCGGAACUAGAGACCGGCGCACGGGUGCGUAACGCGUAUGCAAUCUACCUUUUGCAGAGGGAUAGCCCCAGAGAAAUUUGGAUUAAUACCUCAUAGUAUAGCAGUUUCGCAUGAAACCACUAUUAAAGUCACAACGGCAAAAGAUGAGCAUGCGUCCCAUUAGCUAGUUGGUAAGGUAACGGCUUACCAAGGCUACGAUGGGUAGGGUCCUGAGAGGAGAUCCCCACACUGGUACUGAGACACGGACCAGACUCCUACGGGAGGCAGCAGUGAGGAAUAUUGGACAAUGGCGACAAGCCUGAUCCAGCCAUGCCGCGUGCAGGAUGACGGUCCUA
rnacentral:rRNA from 1 species